GGAACCUCUCAAUGUCAAAUUAAAGUCAUUAUGUUUUUGUUUCAUCUACAGGGAAUAGCUGGGCAGAGAGGCUUACAAGGGGUUAUGGGGAAGGCAGGACCUCAGGGAGCCGUGGGUCCCAGAGGCCCAGAGGGCUUAUUGGGUCCAAAGGGUAUGCCGGGACAAGAGGGACCUAAAGGUGAACCAGGAAAACAAGGACCUCCAGGGCAGAUGGGACCACCGGGCCUUCCUGGCAACAAAGGACCCUCUGCAUUACAAGGAAAUGAGGUAGCAUUUCAACAUAACAUUGUCCAAACUUUUUUUCAUAUUUAGUCAGAUAGAAAUAUUUGAAUGUUCUUUGAUCAAAAUUCAGAAAUGUAUUUAUUAAUUUAAUUGCGUUGUGCUUUUAUUUCCAGGGAAUUCCAGGAGAAAUGGGAGCUGAUGGCCCUGUUGGCCCACCAGGGCCACAAGUCAGUAUUUGUGUGAUUUAAUAUCAGGGAAAAUUCUGCAAUGAAUCAGCAACUAAAUGGUGAUAUUCUUUCACCACCUGAAGACUGGGAAUGAUGUAUUAUUUCUGUUUUAUUAUGUAUUAUUGAUGUUUUAGGGUCCAACUGGCAAAUCUGGGCCUCAGGGAAGGGAUGGACCGAAAGGUCAGAAGGUCAGAGUGAUCUAAAUUUCUUUAUUCAUCAUAGGAUUGAAUUUGCAAUCUGAUAUCAUAACAUUCACUUUAUUCCUUCUCUAGUUGCUCUGUUAAUUUCUGAAAAUAUUACGACUAAUCACUUUAACAAUCAGCCUUACUGUAUAUACUAUACUUUUCUAAUUUUUCAGGGAAAUGAUGGUCUAGAUGGGCCUUCUGGAAAACCUGGGCAUACUGGGAAGAGAGUAAGUAUAGUGUUAAGUUUUUUUUGUGUGUGUGUUUGUGGGAAACAUUUCCAGCAUUAACAGAACCAUUUAAAUUAUUCUUUGACUGUUAGGGGAAAAAGGGAAAAGCUGGUCAGAGGGGUCUCAGAGGACCUAGAGGGGAGAAGGUACUCAUUUAUUAAUUAGUCAUUUUUAAAUGCUACUUAACUUGGAAAGAUAUGAUGUUCAUCACAAAUUCAUCACAUUUAUUUUUAUGUGUAAUAGGGCCAACAGGGAGCAAUGGGAAAGACUGGACUUCCUGGCAGACCAGGAAAAUAUGUAAAUGAAUACAAAUGGGUAAUGUACAUAUGAUAUAUAUGAUGAAAAGACAAUGAGAAUAUUCAUCAGUGGUCUACAUUUAUUGUUUCAGGGUUUACCAGGUAUUCGAGGCAAUAAAGGAGAGAGCGGUGAAAAAGGCUUUGAGGUU
ensembl:lncRNA